rnacentral:rRNA from 1 species
AUGCUAGCAUCCGCCAUGGAGCUCUCCCGCCUUCCGCUGGUCCUGCUGCUCUGCUUGCUGGCCGGCUCAUCGACGACGACCCUGCCGGUGCUGCCCGGGAUAGACAAGGUGCGGCAACAGGUCGACAGGGCAAACCUGCGCGGCCCGUCCAUCGGUCUCGUCAUGUCGUACAUCGACGAGCACACCGCGCUCCAGGACUCCGGCUACUUGAGGCCUUGGCAUGCCCAGCCGUUUGUUGUCCUGUACGGUGAGUCUCCGCCUCCCAUUUCUGAUCCAGAUUGCUCGCCUGUAGGUUGUGCAAAUGAAGCACUGGAUGAGUUUGACUGUUCCUGGUACACUUUUUGGUUUCUUCAAACAGCUAGCAGUGAGUGUUGA